UACGUAGGGUGCGAGCGUUACUCGGAAUUACUGGGCGUAAAGCGCGUGUAGGCGGUCCGGUAAGUCCGCUGUGAAAGUCGAGGGCUCAACCCUCGAAUGCCGGUGGAUACUGUCGGGCUUGAGUACGGGAGAGGCGAGUGGAAUUCCUGGUGUAGCGGUGAAAUGCGCAGAUAUCAGGAGGAACACCAAUGGCGAAGGCAGCACUCUGGGACGUGACUGACGCUGAGACGCGAAAGCGUGGGGAGCAAACAGG
rnacentral:rRNA from 1 species